UACGUAGGGGGCAAGCGUUGUCCGGAAUCAUUGGGCGUAAAGAGCGUGUAGGCGGCCCGAUAAGUCCGCCGUGAAAGUCCAGGGCUCAACCCUGGAAUGCCGGUGGAAACUGUCGGGCUAGAGUCCGGAAGAGGCGAGUGGAAUUCCUGGUGUAGCGGUGAAAUGCGCAGAUAUCAGGAGGAACACCGGUGGCGAAAGCGGCGACCUGGCCCGAUACUGACGCUCAUGGACGAAAGCGUGGGGAGCAAACAGG
rnacentral:rRNA from 1 species